CUUAAGCAUAUCAAUAAGCGGAGGAAAAGAAACCAACUGGGAUUGCCCUAGUAACGGCGAGUGAAGCGGCAAUAGCUCAAAUUUGAAAUCUGGCUCUCUUUGGGGGUCCGAGUUGUAAUUUGCAGAGGGUGCUUUGGCGUUGACGGCGGUCUAAGUUCCUUGGAACAGGACAUCGCAGAGGGUGAGAAUCCCGUUUGUGGUCGCCAGUCUUCACCGUGUAAAGCCCCUUCGACGAGUCGAGUUGUUUGGGAAUGCAGCUCUAAAUGGGAGGUAAAUUUCUUCUAAAGCUAAAUACCGGCCAGAGACCGAUAGCGCACAAGUAGAGUGAUCGAAAGAUGAAAAGCACUUUGGAAAGAGAGUCAAAUAGCACGUGAAAUUGUUGAAAGGGAAGCGCUUGCAGCCAGACUUGCCUGUAGUUGCUCAUCCGGGCUCUUGCCCGGAGCACUCUUCUGCAGGCAGGCCAGCAUCAGUUUGGGCGGCUGGAUAAAGACCUCUGUCAUGUAUCUUCCUUCGGGAUGACCUUAUAGGGGAGGUGUAAUGCAGUCAGCCUGGACUGAGGUCCGCGCAUUUGCUAGGAUGCUGGCGUAAUGGCUGUAAGCGGCCCGUCUUGAAACACGGACCAAGGAGUCUAACAUCUAUGCGAGUGUUUGGGUGUCAAGCCCGGGCGCGCAAUGAAAGUGAACGGAGGUGGGAACCCUCUCGGGGGUGCACCAUCGACCGAUCCUGAUGUCUUCGGAUGGAUUUGAGUAAGAGCAUAGCUGUUGGGACCCGAAAGAUGGUGAACUAUGCUUGAAUAGGGUGAAGCCAGAGGAAACUCUGGUGGAGGCUCGCAGCGGUUCUGACGUGCAAAUCGAUCGUCAAAUUUGGGCAUAGGGGCGAAAGACUAAUCGAAC
rnacentral:rRNA from 1 species